UACGUAGGGUCCGAGCGUUGUCCGGAAUUAUUGGGCGUAAAGGGCUCGUAGGCGGUUCGUCACGUCGGGAGUGAAAACUCGGAGCUUAACUCCGAGCCUGCUUCCGAUACGGGCAGACUAGAGGUAGGCAGGGGAGAGCGGAACUCCUGGUGUAGCGGUGGAAUGCGCAGAUAUCAGGAAGAACACCGGUGGCGAAGGCGGCUCUCUGGGCCUUACCUGACGCUGAUGCGCGAAAGCCAGGGGAGCGAACGGG
rnacentral:rRNA from 1 species